rnacentral:misc_RNA from 1 species
UCUCCGUUGGUGAACCAGCGGAGGGAUCAUUACAGAGUUGCAAAACUCCCAACCCAUUGUGAACGUUACCUAUCCCGUUGCUUCGGCGGGCGGCCCGGGCCCCGCGCCCGGCGCCCCCCGGCCCCCCGUGGGCGCCCGCCGGAGGUAAACCAAACCCUUGAAUUGCAUGGCCUCUCUGAGUCUUCUGUACUGAAUAAGUCAAAACUUUCAACAACGGAUCUCUUGGUUCUG